CAGGGAGACAACACAAUGAUUUUGAUGCCUGAGUGCUUUUAUUCUUAGGCCGAAAUCCUGUCACCUUAGGUCGAUCGGUACCUCAGCUUUGAAGUUAAGGAUCAGCAGCAAUGUUGAUUGCUUGAUGGAGAUUUUCAGUUCCUAAACUUUGUCUAGGUCACACCCCAAAAGGGAUGAGACUCCUGGGCCAUUAGCUCAGGUGGUUAGAGCGCACCCCUGAUAAGGGUGAGGUCCCUGGUUCAAGUCCAGGAUGGCCCAUUCGGUGUUGGGGGUUUAGCUCAGUUGGUUGAGCGCCUGCUUUGCAAGCAGGAUGUCAGGAGUUCGAGUCUCCUAACCUCCACUGACCGAACUUGAUUCCCAUCUCCAAUUUUUUGGAGUUGAGCUCGAUUGGAGUGUGAUUUAGAUGUGUCCGCUGGAUGACCCCAGCUUCCUGUCAUUCCAAGUUUUAGGUUGAUGCCUUGAAUUUGGUUGAUAAGAUGCUGGGCUCGGAUCAAAUAAUCAAGCAAUUGAUGAUUUGAUUUGAAGUUCUAGCAGAACCUUGACAACUGCAUAGGUGAGUCUGGAAAAAACAAAGCAUCUUACAGAUGCAUUGUUUUGAAUCUGAUCUUCUGAAAGGGAGAUUGGAUCUAGAACAAUGAAAAUUCUUUUGAGCAAGAGCCGAGACUCUUGAGCGUUCUUUGAUUGGUGUCGAGCCAAUCAGAGUUUGAUCUUGUUUUUAGCAAUAAAAACUUGAGAAUCUGCUUUCAACGGCGGUAAGCGUUCAAGAGGUUAAUU
rnacentral:tRNA from 1 species